rnacentral:rRNA from 1 species
GCCAUGCAAGUCGGAAUCCUCCAAGGAGUGUGUGACACCUCACCUACCGAAUGGAAUAGCCCCGAACAUGGAUAACGCAAGGCAGUCACGACCGACCGUCUGGCUUCGGCGUCCGCGUGAACGGUCACGCGGGCGUGACCGGUAACAGCCAAGUGA